rnacentral:lncRNA from 1 species
GUGUUUUGUUAUACCUGUAGAAAUGAGUAAGAAAGAUCCAGAGCAUGACAUCAGUUAGGAUCAUGAUGAGAUGCUCUCGGCUCGAUAUUAUUGGAGAUACAAAUGGUGCAACACAGAGUUCAAGGAAGGAGGGUUGACUAGAUUGAAGCAGCACCUGGCUUGUGGUUAUCCUGAUGUGUCCAUUUGUCGGAAAUGUCCGCAAGAGGUCCGAUAAUUGAUGAAAAAGUAUUUUGCUGACUUGAAAGCAGCGAAGGAAAGGGCAAAGCAGAAAAGAGCCGAAGUAGACCGUCGAGCUACGGAGCCACCUUAUCACUCUAGAGAGUCAGGAGGCUUCUGCUCCAGAUGAUGAGGCACAGAUUGAGGCUGCCAUUCAGGCGAGCUUAGCA